CAGUAGCCGACCUGAGAGGGUGACCGGCCACAUUGGGACUGAGACACGGCCCAAACUCCUACGGGAGGCAGCAG
rnacentral:rRNA from 1 species